GAGAAAGGGGAAGGAGAACCGUGAGAGAGAGAGAGGGAGAGAGAGAAGAGGCAAAGCUUCUCCCUAAGGAAUUCAACAUCCAUGGAAGCUUGAAGAUGGUUGAAGAAGAUAGAAGAGAGAGGAAAGAUCAACCAAAAGCUUGGGAAAAAUUGAAGAGACUAAGGGAUGAACAAAGGUUUGGGUAAGGUCGAGACGAGGACAUUGUACCAUUACCACCGGGAACCGAUCACUGUAACCAACCAAGUGGUCAGUCCUAGUCAUGACACCCGUUUUCUUUUGUCAACCUUCGUGGGUUCAGGCACUGCACGAAGCCAUUUAUUUUUGUAAAGUCUAUUGAAAUGUUGGCUUAAUUUUGAUUACCCAUUUAAAGUUAAAGAGGUAGAACUUCAAUGAUUUUUAUAUAAGCCUAAUGAUGGGGCUGGGUCUGUACAUAUGGUUGUUUAUCACCGAUGCUACAACAUAUGGUUUGGAGCUUUAUCUAUUUUCCAUGAUGAAUGUGAUGUAUAAGAGGUCCUGGCAUGUAGAUGUAGCUCAAUGGAAUUUAUAUGUAUAGUUAUUUUCCUACUUUAUGCUUC